GUACUUCCUCCAGCAUUUGCCGCGAGUUAUUGGCAAGUUCCCCUGCAGUUGUUUGGGCUGUCGCUGUGGCUGGUUCUGCGGUGUGCGGCCAGCCAUGGAGCGCUCUGGGCCCAGCGAAGUGACAGGCUCAGACGCAUCGGGACCGGACCCGCAGCUUGUGGUCACCAUGGGCUUCACGGGGUUCGGGGUUCGGUAAAAAAGCUCACACAUUUGACUUGGAAGCAAUGUUUGAACAAACUCAAAGAACAGCUGUGGAAAGAAGUCACAAAACACUGGACCAGAUUACAGAGGGGUAUUGAUUUGCCUUGCCCCCGCCCCCACCAUCACAGUGUGUCCCUGUCCAGUGUUGGUGCUGUGUGGCAUUGCUUGUGUCCAUAGGAGUCCAUCAAGGCAGAGCGGCAGAGCGGCAAGCAGAGCGGCAAGGCAGGUCAGCUUCCGGCUCUUCCAGGCUGCAUGUCCCCCUCAAUAUCCUUUCAACCCAAUGGAAAUGGAUUGAAAGAGUGAAAGUCACUGGUCUCAAAGAAUCUACGGAAUUUAGCAUUUUGAAAAUCACAGAGCAAUUUUGGGUAGGUAUUCACAUGCACUAAAAAACCAGGCAAACAUCUGACUCCCAGGAUAAAGUGACUGAGAGCAGUAGAAGACUUGUUGAGCCUUAAGGAAUAAGAGGAAAAUUAUGUUAUGAAGUGCAGGAACAGCACAGACCCAGACGAGGGGAUGCAGCCCGGAGCCAGUAACCCGGCGCCUCCUCCUCCCCAGGGCGCAGCGCUGGCUGCUCCCCGGAUACCGUGAUCACACGUCCCAGGUCCUGAGAGCGCCUCAUAGGUAGACAGUUCUUUGGGACUUUUGGGACGCAGCACUUGAAGAGAGGUUUACCUAAACUUUCCUCCUGGGAGCCUGUCAUCAUUUGAAAGUAACAGAAGAAAGCUGUCAGGCUGAGGAAAGUUUCAACAGGCACUUGGUGAGAAUGGGAAGCAUCCAUUCAUUGGGAAAUCACGGGGACAGAGGAGGAAUUCACGGGAUCAGAGCACUGAGAAACUCCAGAGGCUUCUGGUUCACCGCCCUGAUUCCACAGAUGUGGGUCAGAGGCAGAGAUGGAAGUUGGAAUGGACAAGCCUGCCCUCUCCUCAGCUCUCCAUGGCUCUGUCCUCAGGCUGUUUCUGCAAUUUGACAUGAGGCCUGGCCCCAGGGAAACCAGUGGGGCCUCAUCUCCUCCCUGUGCUGCUCUGAGGUGGAGCCUUCUCAGGGUCAGUCCAGCUCUGGAGCCCCUCUCCAGCUCGGUCACCAAAGCUGUCUGGUCCCAGGGCAGUGUGGAGUGACAGGCACGCCAGCCAAUCCAAUCGGCCAUUUCAUACCCAAUGCAUGUGACUGAUAAAGAGAUAACACCCUGUCUCCAAGACACAGGCUUUACAUAAACAGCUUUAAUGACUUCUUCACUUAGGGACAAGACUCCUUAGUGGUGGAACCUCAGGCAUCCAUGCAGGAUGUAAGAAAGCUCCCGUAUAUACAUGAACUGAGAAGUGUGUAGAAGAGUAAAUACUGUAAUAG
rnacentral:lncRNA from 1 species